rnacentral:lncRNA from 1 species
ACAAAUUUUAAAUGCCUUGAUUAUACUAGACAUUUUUCUAGGCACUGGUGACAGAACAAUGAAUGUCAGAAAAAGUACAUUCUUUUAAAUACCUUCCUUCUUGUGAAAUGAGACAACAUGAAAUUAAACAAGUUUUAUAACAAAAGUGAGAGAGUAAAAAUAAUAUGUAAAAAUAAAAAUACCAUGUAGUAGGUAGCAACUGAGAAAGAAGGGGCAAUUUUGAAUAGGAUGGUGGAGCAAAGACAAGAGCAAUUAUAACACUAUUUUGUAUUGAACCUGUAGGAAGCCAUUGCAGAUAAACUGGAAAGGGUAGGUUCUCCACGGACUGAAAUGCGAUGAGGUUGACUACAUGGUCAGCAGGCAGAUCUCAUGGUCCAUUUUAGAGAGAGACAAUGCAUUCUAGCAUAUCCAGGAUGAGGCCCUGGCAGUUGUUUUGGUGCAGUGAUUAAUGUUCCCUAAUGUUCACGCCCAGCAACUUUUACUCACGCAACUUUGAUACAAUGAUUCCACUUAUCGGAUAUGUUAAAAGAUUGGCAUAUAACAUGUAGGAUGAGUUAACUGAGAACUUUUUCAGCGUUUUUAACCAUGGACAGGUAUGAUCUCAUUUAAAGAAAGACAACAACCCUGCCUGCUCUGUGAAACCUUGUUGGUGAGGAAUGAGGAAAGGGAAAGGUGAGAAAGGAGAUGAAAACCAAAUAGAGAUCUAUUGCAGCCAUCCCAGUGAGUCAUAAUGGAAUGGGCAAGGGCCACCACAGCUCAAGUCCACACGGUGGUUUCACACCCACGAGCCCCACAUCAGAACAAAAUCCAGGACAGCAAGAGGAUGGACUUCUUUUUUCGGUGGGGGUUUCAGGGAAGAGGAUGUGGGAAGGAGAACCUAGAGGCACAGAGACCAGUUUUAGUGAAGAGACCCAGGGAAGUUACAGAUGUGGGCGUUUAUUCUUACAGCGGUAUCCACAUGUCCUCCACUAACCUCGAGAGUUCCUGCAGCGCAUGCCAAAGACGGUGUGUCAGAAGUCUCAGCGAGGCUAGGGAGCAUGUUAUCGCAUCGGCCUGAAACAUGAAUGGCUACUAGCCGACUCACUGUCCUAAUCCAGGUAACUCACUGCUGGGGUGAGGAGGUGUUUUCAAGUGUAUUAAGAAACCUCAUUCAUUAUCAAAAGUUAUCUAUUUUCCACUAUUAGUAGAUUUCUGAGGUUCUCAUAGAAUAUUUGACAAUUAUUUGAGGUGAGAUAUGUAACUCGGUUACAUAUAAUUUUCUUAAUUAACAAAUAAUUGUACCAGUUACAUAUUUUCUCAACAAAUAAUUUUGACUAGGUAUUAUAUUUCAGGAUUUAUAUUUCUCUAUUAUAUUUCAGUAUUGACUUCGUUAUUUUGUCUUUUGUCUUUUUUUUUUUUUUUAGGGGCCACACCAGCGGUACAUGGAGGUUCCCAGGCUGGGGGUCGAAUGUGAGCUGCAGCCACUGGCCUACACCACAGCCACAGCCCUGUCAUAUCCGAGCUACACCACAGCUCACAGCAGUGCCGUGUCCUUAACCCACUGAGUGAACCUGCGUCCUCAUGGAUGCUAGUCAGAUUCAUUUCUGCUGAGCCAUGAUGGGAACUCCUAUAUUGACUUCUGCAGAUAAAAUGAUGGACAGUAACUCCAUUCUCAAGUAGUCUAUAGUGGAUCAGCAGAAGCAAGCUAGGGAGACACAAUCAAUGCAGAGAGUGGGUCAGUGUGAUGGGUUUAACAGAAGGGCCGCUGGAAGAAUACACAUCCCGGUGUUGGAAUAGGAGAAAGCUGCCUGAAGAAGAGAUGGAAUGCAAUCUCUGGAGCGUGAGAAGAAUCUGUGCAAACAACAGGUAGGUAGGAGCAUGCUUUGAAAUAAAGAUCACCUGUCAUCACA